rnacentral:sRNA from 1 species
GCCAGGAGUGGUGGCACAUGCCUGUAGUCCCAGCACUGGGGAGACUGAAGCAGGAGCAUCUCUUGAGUCCAGGAAUUUGAGACCAGCCUGGGCAACAUAGCAAGACCUUGUUCCCC